UACGUAGGUUGCAAGCGUUGUCCGGAUUUACUGGGUGUAAAGGGAGCGUAGACGGCGGAGCAAGUCUGAAGUGAAAGCCCCGGGCUUAACCCGGGAACUGCUUUGGAAACUGUGGGGCUGGAGUGCUGGAGAGGUAAGCGGAAUUCCUAGUGUAGCGGUGAAAUGCGUAGAUAUUAGGAGGAACACCAGUGGCGAAGGCGGCUUACUGGACAGUCACUGACGUUGAGGCUCGAAAGCGUGGGGAGCAAACAGG
rnacentral:rRNA from 1 species